UACGAAGGGGGCUAGCGUUGUUCGGAAUUACUGGGCGUAAAGCGCGCGUAGGCGGCUUAGCAAGUUGAGAGGUGAAAGCCCGAAGCUCAACUUCGGAAUUGCCUUUAAAACUGCAAAGCUAGAAUCAUGGAGAGGGUAGUGGAAUUCCCGGUGUAGUGGUGAAAUGCGUAGAUAUCGGGAGGAACACCAGUGGCGAAGGCGACUACCUGGCCUGUUCUUGACGCUGAGGCGCGAAAGCUAGGGGAGCAAACGGG
rnacentral:rRNA from 1 species